UACGUAGGGUGCAAGCGUUAAUCGGAAUUAUUGGGCGUAAAGCGCGCGUAGGCGGUUACUCAAGUCGGAUGUGAAAGCCCUCGGCUUAACUGAGGAAGUGCACCCGAAACUGAGUAGCUAGAGUACUAAAGAGGGUCGCGGAAUUCCCGGUGUAGAGGUGAAAUUCGUAGAUAUCGGGAGGAACACCGGUGGCGAAGGCGGGUCUCUGGGCCGAUACUGACGCUGAGGAGCGAAAGCGUGGGGAGCAAACAGG
rnacentral:rRNA from 1 species